GACGAACGCUGGCGGCGCGCCUAACACAUGCAAGUCGAACGGAGCUUAGAGAGCUUGCUUUUUAAGCUUAGCGGCGAACGGGUGAGUAACGCGUGAGUAACCUGCCCUAGAGUGGGGGACAACAGUUGGAAACGACUGCUAAUACCGCAUAAGCCCACGGUGCCGCAUGACACUGAGGGAAAAGGAUUUAUUCGCUUUAGGAUGGACUCGCGUCCAAUUAGCUAGUUGGUGAGGUAACGGCCCACCAAGGCGACGAUUGGUAGCCGGACUGAGAGGUUGAACGGCCACAUUGGGACUGAGACACGGCCCAGACUCCUACGGGAGGCAGCAGUGGGGGAUAUUGCACAAUGGGGGAAACCCUGAUGCAGCGACGCCGCGUGGAGGAAGAAGGUUUUCGGAUUGUAAACUCCUGUCGUUAGGGACGAUAAUGACGGUACCUAACAAGAAAGCACCGGCUAACUACGUGCCAGCAGCCGCGGUAAAACGUAGGGUGCAAGCGUUGUCCGGAAUUACUGGGUGUAAAGGGAGCGCAGGCGGGAAGACAAGUUGGAAGUGAAAACCAUGGGCUCAACCCAUGAAUUGCUUUCAAAACUGUUUUUCUUGAGUAGUGCAGAGGUAGAUGGAAUUCCCGGUGUAGCGGUGGAAUGCGUAGAUAUCGGGAGGAACACCAGUGGCGAAGGCGGUCUACUGGGCACCAACUGACGCUGAGGCUCGAAAGCAUGGGUAGCAAACAGGAUUAGAUACCCUGGUAGUCCAUGCCGUAAACGAUGAUUACUAGGUGUUGGGGGAUUGACCCCCUCAGUGCCGCAGUUAACACAAUAAGUAAUCCACCUGGGGAGUACGACCGCAAGGUUGAAACUCAAAGGAAUUGACGGGGGCCCGCACAAGCAGUGGAGUAUGUGGUUUAAUUCGAAGCAACGCGAAGAACCUUACCAGGUCUUGACAUCCGAUGCAUAGCACAGAGAUGUGUGAAAUCCUUCGGGACAUCGAGACAGGUGGUGCAUGGUUGUCGUCAGCUCGUGUCGUGAGAUGUUGGGUUAAGUCCCGCAACGAGCGCAACCCUUAUUGCCAGUUACUACGUUAAGAGGACUCUGGCGAGACUGCCGUUGACAAAACGGAGGAAGGUGGGGAUGACGUCAAAUCAUCAUGCCCUUUAUGACCUGGGCUACACACGUACUACAAUGGCGUUAAACAAAGAGAAGCAAGACCGCGAGGUGGAGCAAAACUCAAAAACAACGUCUCAGUUCAGAUUGCAGGCUGCAACUCGCCUGCAUGAAGUCGGAAUUGCUAGUAAUCGCGGAUCAGCAUGCCGCGGUGAAUACGUUCCCGGGCCUU
rnacentral:rRNA from 1 species